CAGUAGCUGAGUGGAUAACGUGAUGGCGUUUGAAGCGAAAGGUAUUGGGUUCGAGUCCCAGAAUGAA
rnacentral:tRNA from 1 species